UUUUUGAGGAUGGCGGCGGUCUACAAUGCAGUCGAGCGGUGUAGAGAAGAAUGCUUCUCUUGAGAGCGGCGGACGGGUGAGUAAUGCCUAGGAAUCUGCCUGGUAGUGGGGGAUAACGUUCGGAAACGGACGCUAAUACCGCAUACGUCCUACGGGAGAAAGCAGGGGACCUUCGGGCCUUGCGCUAUCAGAUGAGCCUAGGUCGGAUUAGCUAGUUGGUGAGGUAAUGGCUCACCAAGGCGACGAUCCGUAACUGGUCUGAGAGGAUGAUCAGUCACACUGGAACUGAGACACGGUCCAGACUCCUACGGGAGGCAGCAGUGGGGAAUAUUGGACAAUGGGCGAAAGCCUGAUCCAGCCAUGCCGCGUGUGUGAAGAAGGUCUUCGGAUUGUAAAGCACUUUAAGUUGGGAGGAAGGGUUGUAGAUUAAUACUCUGCAAUUUUGACGUUACCGACAGAAUAAGCACCGGCUAACUCUGUGCCAGCAGCCGCGGUAAUACAGAGGGUGCAAGCGUUAAUCGGAAUUACUGGGCGUAAAGCGCGCGUAGGUGGUUUGUUAAGUUGGAUGUGAAAUCCCCGGGCUCAACCUGGGAACUGCAUUCAAAACUGACUGACUAGAGUAUGGUAGAGGGUGGUGGAAUUUCCUGUGUAGCGGUGAAAUGCGUAGAUAUAGGAAGGAACACCAGUGGCGAAGGCGACCACCUGGACUAAUACUGACACUGAGGUGCGAAAGCGUGGGGAGCAAACAGGAUUAGAUACCCUGGUAGUCCACGCCGUAAACGAUGUCAACUAGCCGUUGGAAGCCUUGAGCUUUUAGUGGCGCAGCUAACGCAUUAAGUUGACCGCCUGGGGAAUACGGCCGCAAGGUUAAAACUCAAAUGAAUUGAACGGGGGCCCCCACAAGCGGGGGAACAUGUGGUUUAA
rnacentral:rRNA from 1 species